UUGUAGAUGUCGAUUGUGUGUUUUAAAGGGGACAAUUCUAUGGGUGUCUAACAGUUAAUAUAGUUGGCAACUUUAAUGUCGCGUCGUGCAAUUAAAUGUUUUAUAAGUUUAGGUGCAGCAAGACAGUGAAAGAAAAAUACAGUUUUUAGGUGCAUUACGCCGGCUUGUUAAAUGUAGUGCACGUGGCUUUCUUGCUUUUUACUUUCAGAUUGGUCUACAGAACAUGCAACGUGUAUACCUGCCAGGACAUACUCAUCGGUCCAGAACGAUGGUUUUCUUGAAGGAUUGUUGUGGGUGAUUCGGCCUUAUCUCGGUACGUGACUGUCAUAAUGCCUUUAAGGGAGGACAUUUGCAUUAUGAAGAUUUGUGCAAUACCUGUGAAGAGAGAUACAUUGGAUGGGAUGCUGUUGGCUCCUCAACCAAACGAAGUUCACUGCUAAAAGGAGGAAGAUGUUUUUGAAUAACCUUAAUUGCGAUUCAUACAUGUUUAGCUGGCACAAUGAGCUGUCAAAUCUGGACCUAAAUCCAUGGAACAUGUAGAGCUGUCAUCUGGGAAUGCAGAUUUAUCACAGGAUACUGGAUACUCACUGUGGCAGGACUGAUCACAUAGGGCCUGGCAAACCCUGGACCAGGAUGAUUCCACGACUAGGAAUGUAAACUACUGUUGCUAGAAAGUGCCUGCAGCAGCUAAAAGCAAGAAGCAGUGUUUAAGAAUCGACUGCAGAAUGGCUGACCAGAAUAUUCAAAUAGCACAGUAAUGUUUAUAACUUCUGAAGUGGAAACUUGUUUAUGUGCUUAGUUUUAUCUGCUUGAGGGGGACACCAUAGAACUGUUUUUAUGUAAAAAUAAAAUGCUGUAUGACUAUUUUACAUUUUGAUACCUAGAGACAUUUAAAAUGUGUUCUGCCCUUAUUUGGAAACCAAUGUAAAUGUUUUUUUUAUUCAGCAAUUCUGUGUGUUGGUGUUAAUUGUAAAAAUAAAGAUACAAAAACA